rnacentral:rRNA from 1 species
UACGUAGGGUGCGAGCGUUAAUCGGAAUUACUGGGCGUAAAGCGUGCGCAGGCGGUUCGCUAAGACCGAUGUGAAAUCCCCGGGCUUAACCUGGGAACUGCAUUGGUGACUGGCGGGCUAGAGUAUGGCAGAGGGGGGUAGAAUUCCACGUGUAGCAGUGAAAUGCGUAGAGAUGUGGAGGAACACCGAUGGCGAAGGCAGCCCCCUGGGUCAAGACUGACGCUCAUGCACGAAAGCGUGGGGAGCAAACAGG